AAAAAAGGUAAGCUACUAAGAGCGAAUGGUGGAUGCCUUGACUGGUAAAGGCGAUGAAGGACGUACUAGACUGCGAUAAGCUACGGGGAGCUGUCAAGAAGCUUUGAUCCGUAGAUUUCCGAAUGGGGCAACCCAAUGUAUAGAGAUAUACAUUACCUAUAUAGGAGCGAACGAGGGGAAUUGAAACAUCUUAGUACCCUCAGGAAAAGAAAUCAAUAGAGAUUGCGUCAGUAGCGGCGAGCGAAAGCGCAAGAGGGCAAACCCAGUGCUUGCACUGGGGGUUGUAGGACUGCAAUGUGCAAGAGGUAAGUUUAGCAGAACAUUCUGGAAAGUAUAACCAUAGAGGGUGAUAGUCCCGUAUGCGAAAAACAAACCUUAGCUAGCAGUAUCCUGAGUAGGGCGGGACACGAGGAAUCCUGUCUGAAUCCGGGUCGACCACGAUCCAACCCUAAAUACUAAUACCAGAUCGAUAGUGCACAAGUACCGUGAGGGAAAGGUGAAAAGAACUGAGGUGAUCAGAGUGAAAUAGAACCUGAAACCAUUUGCUUACAAUCAUUCAGAGCCCUAUGUAGCAAUACAGGGUGAUGGACUGCCUUUUGCAUAAUGAGCCUGCGAGUUGUGGUGUCUGGCAAGGUUAAGCAAACGCGAAGCCGUAGCGAAAGCGAGUCUGAAUAGGGCGCUUAGUCAGAUGCUGCAGACCCGAAACGAAGUGAUCUAUCCAUGAGCAAGUUGAAGCUAGUGUAAGAACUAGUGGAGGACUGAACCCAUAGGCGUUGAAAAGCCCCGGGAUGACUUGUGGAUAGGGGUGAAAGGCCAAUCAAACUUCGUGAUAGCUGGUUCUCUCCGAAAUAUAUUUAGGUAUAGCGUUGUGUCGUAAUAUAAGGGGGUAGAGCACUGAAUGGGCUAGGGCAUACACCAAUGUACCAAACCCUAUCAAACUCCGAAUACCUUAUAUGUAAUCACAGCAGUCAGGCGGCGAGUGAUAAAAUCCGUCGUCAAGAGGGAAACAACCCAGACUACCAGCUAAGGUCCCUAAAUCUUACUUAAGUGGAAAACGAUGUGAAGUUACUUAAACAACCAGGAGGUUGGCUUAGAAGCAGCCAUCCUUUAAAGAAAGCGUAAUAGCUCACUGGUCUAGUGAUUUUGCGCGGAAAAUAUAACGGGGCUAAAGUAAGUACCGAAGCUGUAGACUUGCACACAACUUAGAUUAUUUAAGUUUAGAAUAUGAGAAACUAAGUUAUAUGUUUAGUUAUAUUUUUACUGAUUUUUAUAGAGUAAAGAUAGAAAUAAAACUUAGUAAAAUCAGUAAAAAUAUUCUUAGACUAAAGUUAAGUAGUUUAAGUUGUGUGCAAGUGGUAGGAGAGCGUUCUAUUUGCGUCGAAGGUAUACCGGUAAGGAGUGCUGGAGCGAAUAGAAGUGAGCAUGCAGGCAUGAGUAGCGAUAAUUAAUGUGAGAAUCAUUAACGCCGUAAACCCAAGGUUUCCUACGCGAUGCUCGUCAUCGUAGGGUUAGUCGGGUCCUAAGUCGAGUCCGAAAGGGGUAGACGAUGGCAAAUUGGUUAAUAUUCCAAUACCAACAUUAGUGUGCGAUGGAAGGACGCUUAGGGCUAAGGGGGCUAGCGGAUGGAAGUGCUAGUCUAAGGUCGUAGGAGGUUAUACAGGCAAAUCCGUAUAACAAUACUCCGAGAACUGAAAGGCUUUUUGAAGUCUUCGGAUGGAUAGAAGAACCCCU
rnacentral:rRNA from 1 species